rnacentral:rRNA from 1 species
AGCUCCAAUAGCGUAUAUUUAAGUUGUUGCAGUUAAAAAGCUCGUAGUUGGAUUUCGGGCGUGGAGGUUCGGUCCGCCGUUUCGGUGUGCACUGUCUUUCUGCGUCUUUCUGCCGGGGACGCGCUUCUGGCCUUAAUUGGCUGGGACGUGGAUUCGGCGAUGUUACUUUGAAAAAAUUAGAGUGUUCAAAGCAAGCUAAAGCUCUGAAUACAUUAGCAUGGAAUAACGCGAGAGGACUCGGUCCUUAUUUUGUUGGUCUUCAAGGAUUGAGUAAUGAUUAAGAGGGACAGUUGGGGGCAUUCGUAUUUCAUUGUCAGAGGUGAAAUUCUUGGAUUUAUGAAAGACGAACUUCUGCGAAAGCAUUUGCCAAGGAUGUUUUCAUUGAUCAAGAACGAAAGUA